UUUAUUUCUUUACAGUGAUGAUUCUCAAUUAACUAUAGAGAUAGAGUGAAAGUUAUGAAUCAAGUGCCAUUUUUAAAAGAUAUCAUUAUGAAGAAAGAAGAUAAGAGCUUUUUUUUACAUAGUUUACAAGUCAAAAAUUUUCAAAAAAACUUCAUUCAUUUCAUGCUUUGUGGGUCUGUGCAAUUUGAAUUUAGUAUAAAUAAAAUGUUGUUUUCUGUC